rnacentral:lncRNA from 1 species
CUACCAGAUGUUGCUAGAAUCAACAUCAAUAUGCAAGAAAGCACAUUUGCAAGUCCUGGCAGUGCUGAGAGUCACAAAGAUCCCAGUCUUGGCACAGAGUGACCUCCCAAACAUGCCAGGUGCUUCUUGUCCUACCAGACUUGCAGACCUCCAGGUGAACUCCAAGGACACUUAGGUGGGCCUGAGCACGUGAACUGCUGCCACUUGUGACAGUCACAGCUGAAAACAAGUAGGAAACUGCCCAGGAGGGCAGCACAUGGACAUAGGGUAUAAGGAGUCCUUGCUAUUCUGGGCAGGUGAUCCUCAGUUAAACUCUGAAUUAUGUACUUCAAAGAAUGUAGAAAUAACAGCAUUACACUGAGAAGAGCCAAUGUGAAAUUUGCUCAACUAAAUCAGAGACAGGGACAAAGCAGCUUUUGAGGCUUCCCCCAGAUUUUCCCCCCAAAAAUCAAGAGUGCUUUCAUACUCCAGCACAAGCUCCUUGGCUUUAUGUUAUUGGCAAUCCCUAUCUGGAUUCAGUUUCCAGUCACUGCUUAUGACUUUAUCAUUAGGACCAAUUUUAUACAAUUAUCAAAUUACUCUUUCUUCUCAGUCUUCUACUCUUAUCAGUCAGACUGUUCCAUUCCUCUCUUAAUCAUUUAAAUUGGGGCCAUGACUCCAAUCCUGCUUCAAAAAUACAGCUCCUUUCAUUAUUUGCUUAUCUGUCUUGUCUGAGACAACCCAGUAGUGUGGAGCACCAGGUGCUCUUUUCCAAGACAUUGUAAAGACAGCAACCUGUCUUUUUCCACACCUUUUUUUCUGACCCCCUUUCUUGAGAAGCAGAAUUUUUAAACAGUUUUGAAGCACUAUGAUUUUAGGCAUUGAUGUUAACUUACUGCUUCUUUGGGGUCCUCCUGCUUGAAGAAUAAUGUUACUGCUAAGCCACAAACAUCUCAAGACAAAGAUGCACUGAAUUCUACCAUAACCUUAAGAUAAUUACACCAUUAUGGAAUUCUAAAAGAAUUAGAAGAAUUCAUCACUAGAUUUCUACAGAAAGCUAUUAUUAAUUUAAGGUCAACAAACCAAGACUGGUCAUUUCACUGAACGUUUUAUUCACAAGUAGAAAAAGCAUUACAAAACAAUUUAUACAAGAUUUUAAUUUACAUUUGUUAAAGGAGUAUUUAAAAC